rnacentral:lncRNA from 1 species
AGCACAUUAAGGUGUUCUAUUACAAACCCGUCAAAAUAAAACACUGAUUUCCUCACUUCUUGGUUGAUAUGAAAUUUACCCCAAAAUUAAACUGAAUGUGACAGUGAAACUUGGAGUAAUUACACCACAUAGAGAUAUUUGUACUUGCAAAUAUCAGCAAAUACUGGGCAGUAGUUAUAACGCUGCGUGCACUUCUUAGCUAUUGAAUGGUUUUUCUCCUUCAUUUGUCUAAAGGGCACUAACACACACUUUUGUUGCACACGCGUUUCUUUUUUUUGUUUUGUUUUUUUCUUGUUACAUAACCAAAAAAAAUUACUCCCAUGUGUGAGAGGCUGACAGUCACAGUGCUGGUUUGCUUUAGGAUGGCUCAGUGAAGAAUGACAGCCUGGGACGCUGCUGGUGGUGUUUUGGUGGUGAUAACUCUAUGGCUGCUCUCCUUUCCUACUGUGGGUCAGUCUCCAUUCACUGUCAGUGGAUCUCAGGACGUCUACCAGGCAGAGGAGCACAGUAACAUCACACUAACAUGGCUGUUCUCUGUCACUGCUGACAUGUCUGACUCACUGAUUAUAGACGUUGUAUAUGUGGAACCUUUGAGAAUGGUUUUCCAUUAUAACCAUAAACGUGAAACCGCGCUGUAUCCAGAGGAGUUCUACAGAGGACGAGUGCAGUGUGAUCCAGAGCUCGCCAGGAAAGGACAGAUUGACGUGGUCUUUACUAAUGUGACACUAGACGACACAGGGACGUAUCGGUGUUUUGUCUCUGUUGACAGACACAGUAACUACACAACAUGUGGCCUCAAUGUUACAGCCGUCAGUCGUCAGCCUCCACAGGAGAACUCAUCACCAGCAGCCGGGAGAGGAUCUUCUGUUACGUUGUAGUUGGAGUGUUAUUCAUAACUCUGGUUACCAUUUAUGUUUUACAGUUUGGUUUUGUUUUUUGUACUGAUUGGAACCAGUCCUCCUCCUCUGAUCUUUUCAGUGAGUAAGCGACUGCUGCUUGUACCAUGCUGACAUAUCUGUCAUGUCUGUCUCUGUCAACAGAAUAUAUUUACCUUUUGAUGAAAACUUUAAAUUAUCUUAAAUACGUGUUGGGGCUUUCUAUUUUAUUUCUACUGAAAUGAUCUAAAAUAACUGGUUGAAAACAGACUGUGCAGUCCAACAUUCAGUUUCUACUAUCUGUAUUUAGUAGUAACUUUAAAGAAAUCAACCCACACAGGAUCCCCAUGUUUUCUACUUGACAGUCCUUCCUUGCUUUCUCACUUGAUGAGUGUAGCUCCUGGAAAAACACUUUUAUUAUUUGUAGUUUGUUCUUCACCUCUGUCUCCUCUAACAGGUAGGUGAUGAUCUUCAGGGUUAGGGUUAGGGUUAAUUUUAAUAUGUUUCA